rnacentral:rRNA from 1 species
AUUCGCCCGCCGCGCCCCGCGCCCGUCCCGCCGCCCCCGCCCGCUCCUACGGGAGGCAGCAGUGGGGAAUAUUGCACAAUGGGCGAAAGCCUGAUGCAGCAACGCCGCGUGAGCGAUGAAGGCCUUCGGGUCGUAAAGCUCUGUCCUCAAGGAAGAUAAUGACGGUACUUGAGGAGGAAGCCCCGGCUAACUACGUGCCAGCAGCCGCGGUAAUACAAUCCAUAUGACUAG